rfam:Ovis aries breed Texel chromosome 17, whole genome shotgun sequence.
UCCCUGGUGGUCCAGUGGUUAGGACUCUGCCCUUCAAAUGCAAGGGGCAAGGGUUCAAUCCCUGGUCAGGGAA